rnacentral:rRNA from 1 species
UACGAAGGGUGCAAGCGUUAAUCGGAAUUACUGGGCGUAAAGCGUGCGCAGGCGGUUUUGUAAGACAGUGGUGAAAUCCCCGGGCUCAACCUGGGAACUGCCAUUGUGACUGCAAGGCUAGAGUGCGACAGAGGGGGAUGGAAUUCCGCGUGUAGCAGUGAAAUGCGUAGAUAUGCGGAGGAACACCGAUGGCGAAGGCAAUCCCCUGGACCUGUACUGACGCUCAUGCACGAAAGCGUGGGGAGCAAACAGG